rnacentral:rRNA from 1 species
AGCGAACGCUGGCGGCAGGCCUAACACAUGCAAGUCGAACGAACACUUCGGAGUUAGUGGCGGACGGGUGCGUAACACGUGGGAACGUGCCUUUUGGUUCGGAAUAACUCAGGGAAACUUGUGCUAAUACCGAAUGUGCCCUUCGGGGGAAAGAUUUAUCGCCAUUAGAGCGGCCCGCGUCUGAUUAGCUAGUUGGUGAGGUAACGGCUCACCAAGGCGACGAUCAGUAGCUGGUCUGAGAGGAUGACCAGCCACACUGGGACUGAGACACGGCCCAGACUCCUACGGGAGGCAGCAGUGGGGAAUCUUGCGCAAUGGGCGAAAGCCUGACGCAGCCAUGCCGCGUGAAUGAUGAAGGUCUUAGGAUUGUAAAAUUCUUUCACCGGGGACGAUAAUGACGGUACCCGGAGAAGAAGCCCCGGCUAACUUCGUG